rnacentral:rRNA from 1 species
GAUGAACGCUGGCGGCGUGCCUAAUACAUGCAAGUCGAGCGAACGGACGAGAAGCUUGCUUCUCUGAUGUUAGCGGCGGACGGGUGAGUAACACGUGGAUAACCUACCUAUAAGACUGGGAUAACUUCGGGAAACCGGAGCUAAUACCGGAUAAUAUUUUGAACCGCAUGGUUCAAAAGUGAAAGACGGUCUUGCUGUCACUUAUAGAUGGAUCCGCGCUGCAUUAGCUAGUUGGUAAGGUAACGGCUUACCAAGGCAACGAUGCAUAGCCGACCUGAGAGGGUGAUCGGCCACACUGGAACUGAGACACGGUCCAGACUCCUACGGGAGGCAGCAGUAGGGAAUCUUCCGCAAUGGGCGAAAGCCUGACGGAGCAACGCCGCGUGAGUGAUGAAGGUCUUCGGAUCGUAAAACUCUGUUAUUAGGGAAGUACAUAUGUGUAAGUAACUGUGCACAUCUUGACGGUACCUAAUCAGAAAGCCACGGCUAACUACGUG